rnacentral:rRNA from 1 species
GGGGAACCUGCGGCUGGAUCACCUCCUUUC